rnacentral:rRNA from 1 species
GGUAUUGCCUUAGUAGCGGCGAGUGAAGCGGCAAAAGCUCAAAUUUGAAAUCUGGCGCCUUCGGUGUCCGAGUUGUAAUUUGAAGAUUGUAACCUUGGGGUUGGCUCUUGUCUAUGUUUCUUGGAACAGGACGUCACAGAGGGUGAGAAUCCCGUGCGAUGAGAUGCCCAAUUCUAUGUAAGGUGCUUUCGAAGAGUCGAGUUGUUUGGGAAUGCAGCUCUAAGUGGGUGGUAAAUUCCAUCUAAAGCUAAAUAUUGGCGAGAGACCGAUAGCGAACAAGUACAGUGAUGGAAAGAUGAAAAGAACUUUGAAAAGAGAGUGAAAAAGUACGUGAAAUUGUUGAAAGGGAAGGGUUUGAGAUCAGACUCGAUAUUUUGUGAGCCUUGCCUUCGUGGCGGGGUGACCCGCAGCUUAUCGGGCCAGCAUCGGUUUGGGCGGUAGGAUAAUGGCGUAGGAAUGUGACUUUACUUCGGUGAAGUGUUAUAGCCUGCGUUGAUGCUGCCUGCCUAGACCGAGGACUGCGAUUUUAUCAAGGAUGCUGGCAUAAUGAUCCCAAACCGCCCGUCUUAA